rnacentral:rRNA from 1 species
CGAACGGGUGAGUAUCACGUGAGAAACCUGCCCCCUAGACCGGGAUAGCCCGAGGAAACUCGGAUUAAUACCGGAUACUCUCAUGAGACCGCAUGGUCUUUUGAGGAAACAGUCCGCUGCUAGGGGAUGGUCUCGCGGCCUAUCAGGUAGUUGGUGAGGUAACGGCCCACCAAGCCUAAGACGGGUAGCUGGUCUGAGAGGACGAUCAGCCACACUGGAACUGAGAUACGGUCCAG